CUCAGCGUUUUGUGCUUAACCGUUGCUGGGAACGCGUUGACGCUCUUGAAAAUAGAAUGUCCCAGAUGGAAUCUUCUUCUCCAAAACCUUCUUCUACUCCCUCCUCCCCUUCAGUUUCUGAUAAGGGUGAAGGUCAGAUUACUUUCGGGUGAAAUGACAUAAUAAAAUAGGUGCCGAGGACACUUUGAGUUUUUUUUUCAGGCUUUUUCCUGGGAAAUUAAUUAAUAGUGUUGAAAUUUUUUUUUGAAGACUUUAGAAUUUAUAACUGUCUUGUUAUUCUUGGUAAAUUUUUGUGAAAUUUGAUAAGUUCAAG
rnacentral:sRNA from 1 species